AUGCCAAGUGUGGCUGUAAAACUCUACAGCGUAUUCUUCAAGUUCCUCUUGAAGCACCGUUUACAAAACCGGAUUCAAGCCCAACCCGACAAUAACUCCAACUCGUUUGGUAUCACUUCACGACCCGAAGAAUCCGUCGCUAACUCUAACCCUUCUUUUACCGACGGCGUCGCCACCAAGGAUAUCCACAUCGAUCCUUUCACUUCUCUCUAUCCGAAUCUUUCUUCCUCACUCCGCUCUUUCUCCUCCCGAGCCACAUUCCAAACCUAA